AGUGAACGCUGGCGGUAGGCCUAACACAUGCAAGUCGAACGGCAGCACAGUAAGAGCUUGCUCUUACGGGUGGCGAGUGGCGGACGGGUGAGGAAUACAUCGGAAUCUACUUUUUCGUGGGGGAUAACGUAAGGAAAAUGAAGCUAAUACAGCAUAAGACCAACGGGAGAAAGAAGGGGAUCUUCGGACAUUACGCGAAUGAAUGAGCCGAUGUCGGAUUAGCUAGUUGGCGGGGUAAAGGCCAACCAAGGCGACGAUCCGUAGCUGGUCUGAGAGGAUGAUCAGCCACACUGGAACUGAGACACGGUCCAGACUCCUACGGGAGGCAGCAGUGGGGAAUAUUGGACAAUGGGCGCAAGCCUGAUCCAGCCAUACCGCGUGGGUGAAGAAGGCCUUCGGGUUGUAAAGCCCUUUUGUUGGGAAAGAAAAUCAGUAGGUUAAUACCCCGCUGUUCUGACGGUACCCAAAGAAUAAGCACCGGCUAACUUCGUG
rnacentral:rRNA from 1 species